GGGAAACUAACAAGGUGACCUUUCACUGACGCUAACCUCUCCAUGGGAUCAAUGCUCUCAGUAACUCCGUCAUGAUGAUUUUCUAACUUUUUUGGAGCUAUCCCUAGAUCAAUAGUACUGUGACCUAUCUUGUCUUUCCAAAAAGCAACGCUUUGUCGGAAAGCAUAUCUGCAUACAUAAUACAAAGCAUGUAAGAACAAGAGACAAAAGAGGACGGAGCAUGACUCAUUCACCCACUCUCCUACCUGUUGUGUAUCACAUCAUUAGGAACACAAGAAAAGACAUCCUGGUAGACUCAACAACUGGAUCCAUUAUUUGAUUGGCCUGAGGAAAGAGAUGGAAAUUUGCAUUACAAACAGGGACAGAUACACUUAUAUAAUUGUGGGGAUUCGUCACUGGUUACAAAUAGGCCGUGCGAAAUGAACGCUCUCCAGAGAAUUGAAAUUUACUAACCUCUCCUGCUCCAAGACCUAAAUGCUCAGACCAUAGUGACAAUCGGAGAGUCAAGGAGAAUUUUCCUGCCUUCCAAGGCUUUCCAUCCAUAUAGGAAUCAAUCAGUUCUCUGUCUUCUAUAACUACACCAAUCUGAAAUGCAUAUGUGGGAGAAUUAAGAGGACACAAGGUGAUGCAAAAAUUAUGCUCUGAUAAACAACUUGAAAGCCCAAGUAAAGUUUUUCAAAUGACAAUCAACAGACCAAUUCCUGAAGAUUUUAAGGGUGAGAUAAUAAUUAAUCGAGAGUCCUAUGAUAAAACAAAGAACUUAUAUUGAUUCGCAAGUCUGAUGAAAAUUAUUCUGUCUUCA